rnacentral:rRNA from 1 species
CCUACGGGUGGCAGCAGUGGGGAAUAUUGGACAAUGGGGGAAACCCUGAUCCAGCGACGCCGCGUGAGCGAUGAAGUAUUUCGGUAUGUAAAGCUCUAUUAGCAGGGAAGAAAAUGACGGUACCUGACUAAGAAGCCCCGGCUCACUACGUGACGACAGCCGCGGUAAUACGUAGGGGGCAAGCGUUAUCCGGAUUUACUGGGUGUAAAGGGAGCGUAGGGGGCUGUGCAAGCCAGGUGUUAAAGCCCGGGGCUCAAACCCGGGACUGCAUUUGGAACUGUGCUGCUAGAGUGCGAGAGAGGCAGGCGGAAUUCCUAGUGUAGCGGUGAAAUGCGUAGAUAUUAGGAGGAACACCAGUGGCGAAGGCGGCCUGCUGGACGAUGACUGACGUUGAGGCUCGAAAGCGUGGGGAGCAAACAGGAUUAGAUACCCGAGUAGUC